CCUACGGGUGGCAGCAGUAGGGAAUUUUCGGCAAUGGGGGGAACCCUGACCGAGCAACGCCGCGUGAACGAAGAAGUUAUUCGUAAUGUAAAGUUCUUUUAACAGGGGAGAAAGAGAAAUUUGACGGUACCUGAAUAAUAAGCUCCGGCUAACUACGUGCCAGCAACCGCGGUAAUACGUAGGGAGCGAGCGUUAUCCGGAAUUAUUGUGCGUAAAGUGUUCGUAGAUGGCAUAGUAAGUAUUUUGUAAAAAUGAUGGCCUCAACCCCGCUCCGCCGUUGAAACUGGGUCCCUUGAGUGCGCGAAGGGGAGGCGGAAGGCGUGGUGUAGCGGUGAAAUGCAUAGAUAUCACGAAGAACUCCGAUCGCGAAGGCA
rnacentral:rRNA from 1 species